rnacentral:rRNA from 1 species
ACGAACGCUGGCGGCACGCUUAACACAUGCAAGUCGAACGAGAGAAGAGAAGCUUGCUUUUCUGAUCUAGUGGCGGACGGGUGAGUAACACGUGAGCAAUCUGCCUUUCAGAGGGGGAUACCGAUUGGAAACGAUCGUUAAUACCGCAUAACAUAAUUGAACCGCAUGAUUUGAUUAUCAAAGAUUUAUCGCUGAAAGAUGAGCUCGCGUCUGAUUAGCUAGUUGGUAAGGUAACGGCUUACCAAGGCGACGAUCAGUAGCCGGACUGAGAGGUUGAUCGGCCACAUUGGGACUGAGACACGGCCCAGACUCCUACGGGAGGCAGCAGUGGGGAAUAUUGCACAAUGGAGGAAACUCUGAUGCAGCGAUGCCGCGUGAGGGAAGAAGGUUUUAGGAUUGUAAACCUCUGUCUUCAGGGACGAAAAAAGACGGUACCUGAGGAGGAAGCUCCGGCUAACUACGUGCCAGCAGCCGCGGUAAUACGUAGGGAGCGAGCGUUGUCCGGAAUUACUGGGUGUAAAGGGAGCGUAGGCGGGAUCGCAAGUCAGAUGUGAAAACUAUGGGCUUAACCCAUAAACUGCAUUUGAAACUGUGGUUCUUGAGUGAAGUAGAGGUAAGCGGAAUUCCUAGUGUAGCGGUGAAAUGCGUAGAUAUUAGGAGGAACAUCAGUGGCGAAGGCGGCUUACUGGGCUUUAACUGACGCUGAGGCUCGAAAGCGUGGGGAGCAAACAGGAUUAGAUACCCUGGUAGUCCACGCCGUAAACGAUGAUUACUAGGUGUGGGGGGACUGACCCCUUCCGUGCCGCAGCAAACGCAAUAAGUAAUCCACCUGGGGAGUACGACCGCAAGGUUGAAACUCAAAGGAAUUGACGGGGGCCCGCACAAGCAGUGGAGUAUGUGGAUUAAUUCGAAGCAACGCGAAGAACCUUACCAGGUCUUGACAUCGUAUGCAUAGCUCAGAGAUGAGUGAAAUCUCUGCGGAGACAUAUAGACAGGUGGUGCAUGGUUGUCGUCAGCUCGUGUCGUGAGAUGUUGGGUUAAGUCCCGCAACGAGCGCAACCCUUACUGUUAGUUGCUACGCAAGAGCACUCUAGCAGGACUGCCGUUGACAAAACGGAGGAAGGUGGGGAUGACGUCAAAUCAUCAUGCCCCUUAUGACUUGGGCUACACACGUGCUACAAUGGGAAGUACAACGAGUCGCAAAGUCGCGAGGCUAAGCUAAUCUCUUAAAGCUUCUCUCAGUUCGGAUUGUAGGCUGCAACCCGCCUACAUGAAGUCGGAAUUGCUAGUAAUCGCAGAUCAGCAUGCUGCGGUGAAUACGUUCCCGGGCCUUGUACACACCGCCCGUCACGCCAUGGGAGUCGGUAACACCCGAAGCCUGUAGUCUAACCGCAAGGAGGACGCAGUCGAAGGUGGGAUUGAUGACUGGGGUG